GUUCGGGAGGAUCGUGCGCGUCUGUCCGGUAUCUAUCGUCCAAGUCUCCAUGAACGGGGCGAGCAACCCACAGAGGGUGUCAGGCCCGUAGAUAAGACGAGCCGAGACCGUGCAUCGGAUCCCUUCCCAAGAGUCGGGUUGCUUGAGCGUGCAGCCCUAAGCGGGAGGUAAACUCCUUCUAAGGCUAAAUAUCGCCACGAGACCGAUAGCGAACAAGUACCGCGAGGGAAAGUUGAAAAGAACUUUGAAGAGAGAGUUCAAGAGUGCGUGAAACCGUUCAGGGGGUUAAACGGGUGGGCCCUCGAAGGUCGAACAAGUCCCCGCUCCCGGCACUUGGUUGUAUGCCCUUAACGCUGCGUGGAGACUGCCUGAAUUGGCGGCUCUCUUGCAUAAGUCGUUCUGCGAUCGCAAUAGCCACGCCAAGGUCCGCAAGUGGGGGGCCUAGUAGGACUCCGCGACCGACUGGGUGUCUGUUACACGGGGCGUCCGUUAGCGAGUUUCGUGGUUACCUUUGCGGGUGCCGCGAUGACGAGCGCGGCGUUUCCCAACAGUACUGCCCGGUCGUGACCUGUCUCCUCCCGGGAGGUGUCGUAGCUUUUUUUUGUAAAAGAGAAAAAGUUGCGGUGCUCAACCUGUGGAGGCCCAGAGCGGANNNNNNNNNNNNNNNNNNNNNNNNCCCGUCUUGAAACACGGACCAAGGAGUCUAACAUGUGCGCAAGUCGUCGAGAAAUUAUCAAACUAAACUCGCGAGGCGCAAUGAAAGUGAAGCGGCCCCGAUGAGGGUGCAUCCGCGAGGGGUGAUCCCGUCUCGAACAGAGCGGGCGCAACCCCAGGGCGUCCGAAUGCUCGCGAGAUCUUUCCCCCUUAAAAGGGUUUGGUCGAGUCGGCCGGACGAACCCAGAGCGCACACGUUGGGACCCGAAAGAUGGUGACCUAUGCCUGGCCAGGACGAAGCCAGGGG
rnacentral:rRNA from 1 species